GUUGCAUGAGGUGCGGUCUAGGGCAGGGGAAGGGGAAUGGAUGAAGCUGGUUCGUGAGGAAAAUCCCAUAACUUGCCGUGGUUAUGUUUAUUAUGACCCAUCAUGACAUCAGCCAAAAUGUUAUGAAUGUGGCAGGCUGAAAUAGAGAUCAUUGCAGGUAAGCAAUGUGUCCAAGAGGUGAUAGAGUGCACUUAGGGGCACUAAUUAAGAUCAGGAGGCAUCAGGAACUAGAACCCCUAUGACUUGACCUGAAGUUGUAGGAUGAGUCAUACUGAAUGGAGCCGCGGAUGAGGACCCUGUCCUUGUCCAGAUACUGUUGCAGCCUUGCCAUUUGUUUAGAUCAUUUUAAUCCCCUCUAAAUAUAAAAUUUAUUGCCCUCUAAAAUUGUUUUGUACUAGCAACCUACCUAUAUAUUACUAGGAGGAUGCCAUGCCGACGGAGGCUACUGGCAAUGGAUUCGUGCACCCAACAAUCGAUCUUCUAUUAUUUAACUCCUCAGUAUGUGUAACAACAUUAAUGCAUCAUCUAUAGGUGAAUAUACAGUAAAUAUAAGUGAAGUAGUGCACCCGAACUGUGACCAACAUCCCAUUGUUAUGGCCUGAAACUGACCAUCUCUAGUCUAGUUUCUGCAACCUCUUGUAGGUAAUCUUACGAGCAAGUCGAAACCAAUGAAAAAUCAUCAGUAAGUCAUUGGUUGAUUGAGAGAGAUGGAAAUUGUUGUGAAACUAACAUCUCGAGUGAUGGAGAUGGGACGUAGAAUCUUUUCUUUAUGGGUUAGGAGACAUCUGGAGUUAGAUCACAGCAUUGGGUUGAAGUCGAUCACUGCAAAAAAACUAGACUGCGGAUGGUGGCAUAUUGGACUGCAGUGGGUUGGCUAAAGACCACAGUAGGACAUGGGCGUCGCACCCAUAAGAAGUGGUGUCAUGCCACCGGACCUCACAAGCUCGUGUUCAUGGGAGCUGCAUUGCCUCUUGCAUCUAGUGCGCAAGCUUCAAAUUAACCAAGGACCUCAGCAUGGACGAAGCUAGCGGUGGGGCUAGGGGGCUCUAGCCCCCCUACCGCUGCUGAUUCAGUGGAGCUUCUAGUGUUUUUCUUCUAAUUUUAGAUACAAAUUUAUAAAGUAGGGUGGGCUGAGACCUUUAUUUUUAGAUAUAUUUUGUGAAUUAAUAUAUGACUACUUCAAGCUAAUAUAUUUUUUUCUAUUGUGAGAGUUUAUAGUAAAGUUAGGUCGAUGUAGCAAUUUUGUUCAGCCUCUCCUACAAUUUUUUCUGGCUUCGUCCCUGGACCUCAGUGACUUGAUUUUUGUCCUAGAUUGGUGAGAGGGAGGGAUCUGGUGGGUUUAGAUGGGUCAGCCUGAAAACUACUGCUUUGAGAUCUCAUGAUAAAUUUGAUCGCCAAAGCUUUUGUAAGGCCGUUGCAGUUUUUGAUUUUCUAUAACGAUUCAGGUAUGGCCAACUGUCUUCUCUAGAGGACAUGUUUACCUGCUAUUCUCAUGGUCAUGUUUCAUGCAGAUGCAGUUCCAAUCCAUGCAUGUCCUUUUUCCUUUUUUUUAAUUUCAUCCAAAUAGGUUUUGGCUUUUGCAUUUAAUUACUGGCUGUAUUAUUUGCUACUCCCUCGAUUCCAAAUUAAAAGACAUUUUGAAUUGUUUAGUUAGACACUAGAGAUGUCGUAAAAGUAAUGUAUCUAGAGAAUACAAAAUAUCUUAUAAUUUGGAAUGGAGGGAUUAGUUAUUAAAAUUGAUAGCAGGUCAUUCUAACUGGGCAUCUAAUUAAGUUGCAAGAUGGUGUGGUUGAAAUCGAUGGUUGUGGUAGCUCCUGAUCACACGCCUGUUUUGAGAUCUGAAAUGAACUAGCGUACUUAACAGUAGUACUAGUCAUAUUUAACUCUCUCUCUCUCUCUCUCUCUCUCUCUCUCUCUCCGGCAACCAAGCGAGAGCAGCAGCGGUAGCCACGAGCGUCAGGUUCUCGAUGAUGUUUUCACUUGCAAUUGGAUCUGUUGCUUCAUGCAGGGCCGUGAGUGCUCUCUCUCGCUCUUUGUUUCAUUUUUUCUUCUAGGUGCUUUCUUAGGGCCCGUUCGUUUCUCACGGAAUGGAGACCUGGAAUGAUUUCAGCCAGAAACAUUAUGUAAAUUUAUACUAUUUUUGAUCGUCUGAAAUGAAUCCAUCGGGAACAAAGGCUAAACGAACGAGCCCUUAGUAAUCACUCUCAUGGUUAGCUGAUCUGAGAUCUGAGAGGUUAUAUUAUGUGAAUCCAUUUUAAUUAGUCCCUCUAUAACCUUUUUUCAUGUUUGCCUUCUGAAGAAUCAUCAUACGGAGUGAAGAAAGCUAGAUGCAUGCUACAUUAUUGCAUUGGGCAAAAUUAUGGGAAUAAAAAAAUAAUGAUGCUACAUUACCUGGCGAAUGCUUGGACAGAUGUGAGAUGUAUUGGCCAGUUAUGGAAAAAAAAUAAUGAUGCUGUUAUGAAGCACUAUAUACAUAACUUGUUCUCUUAUUAAGAACGACCAUUUCCAAUGACCCAUCAUGUCAUUCGAGGAAUACAGAUUUUUGUGCUUUGCAUGCUGGUGGCCACUAACCGAUUGAUCGAAGGUGCUUUUUGGUUCCACACUCUGUGGGAAUAGUAAUGCUAAUGUAAUAAGGUAGCGCUGCAAUCUGUUACUACAGUUUAAGGAAAAAAAACUGAAUUGAUUUGGUUGCCUCCUGUAAUGCUUGGAGCUGUUAGCUAGUCAAAACAUAGAGUCCAAUACAUAAGUAUCCCACAAUCACCAGCGAGGAUGCAGCAGAAGACACAUGCUGGAGUUUCUGAUGGCAGUGGUUGCAGUGUCGCUAGUUAAGACCGCUACAAUUCAGGCGCUCCUUAGAGAAGCUCAACGUACGUGGUCAGGAAGCCGUGCACCACCCCCAACAAGGAGGAAGGAUGGAGCAGAGACAUUCCUGGCGCAGACAGAGAAGUGGCACAUCAGUAUAGAUGCCAGAGAUGCGAGAGAAUCAUGAUGACUUGAGCUAGGGUUGUGGUCCAGCACACGUCAAGGGGCCGUGGCGUGUAGUCCAGCGGAGAGGAAGCGGCGAGGGAAUCAUGAUGAGUUGCAUGUAGGGAUGAAAACGGAUCGGAUACGGACGGAUAUCCCCGAUAUCAUAUUUGUUUUCAUAUUUCUGGUCGGAUUCGGAUUCGAAUACGGAUAAUGUCAACCAUGUCAGAUAAGAUACAAUUGGAUAUCAACAUCAUAAAUAUACAAUUUAAGUAUUCGGAUACGGAUAUGGUAUCGGAUAUUGAAUAUUCGGACUUAGAUACAGCAGAUCUAAACCCCUUGAAACGAAUUCGGUCUUGAAUACGGUCGGAAAAUAUCCGUACCGUUUUCAUCCCUGGUUGCAUGAGGUGCGGUCUAGGGCAGGGGAAGGGGAAUGGAUGAAGCUGGUUCGUGAGGAAAAUCCCAUAACUUGCCGUGGUUAUGUUUAUUAUGACCCAUCAUGACAUCAGCCAAAAUGUUAUGAAUGUGGCAGGCUGAAAUAGAGAUCAUUGCAGGUAAGCAAUGUGUCCAAGAGGUGAUAGAGUGCACUUAGGGGCACUAAUUAAGAUCAGGAGGCAUCAGGAACUAGAACCCCUAUGACUUGACCUGAAGUUGUAGGAUGAGUCAUACUGAAUGGAGCCGCGGAUGAGGACCCUGUCCUUGUCCAGAUACUGUUGC
rnacentral:lncRNA from 1 species